UGGGGAAUAUUGCGCAAUGGGCGAAAGCCUGACGCAGCAACGCCGCGUGAGUGAUGAAGGCCUUCGGGUCGUAAAGCUCUGUCGGAGGGAACGAAUGCUCCUGAAGUUAACAGCCUCAGGAGGUGACGGUACCCUCAAAGGAAGCACCGGCCAAUUCCGUGCCAGCAGCCGCGGUAAGACGGAAGGUGCAAGCGUUGCUCGGAAUCACUGGGCGUAAAGGGCGCGUAGGCGGCCCGGUAAGUAGGGGGUGAAAUCUCAUGGCUCAACUGUGAGGCUGCCUUCUAGACUGCCAGGCUUGAGCACAGUAGAGGCGAGUGGAAUUCCCGGUGUAGCGGUGGAAUGCGUAGAGAUCGGGAAGAACAUCGGUGGCGAAGGCGGCUCGCUGGGCUGUUGCUGACGCUGAGGCGCGAAAGCGUGGGGAGCAAACAGGAUUAGAUACCCCCGUAGUCCCUGAGCGGGCUGGCAAGGCGCAU
rnacentral:rRNA from 1 species